AUGUAGGGCAGUCUGUCUUUAAAUAGGGAUAAAUUUAAAAGAAACGUAUCCUAAGUCGUUUUCCCUUCAAGUCAAAUGUCUUGU
rnacentral:pre_miRNA from 1 species